CCUACGGGCGGCAGCAGUGGGGAAUAUUGGGCAAUGGAGGCAACUCUGACCCAGCAACGCCGCGUGAAUGAUGAAGGUCUUCGGAUUGUAAAGUUCUGUGAUGGGGGAUGAACACAAUGACGGUACCCCAAGAACAAGCCACGGCUAACUACGUGGCAGCAGCCGCGGUAAUAAGUAGUUGGCAAGCGUUAACCGGAAGGACGGGGAGUAAAGGGGGCUUAGGUGGGUUAGUAAGUUGGAUGUGUAAGUCCGCGGCUCAACCUCGGCGCUUCCGCCGAAACUAUUAGACUAGAAUGCAGGAGGGGUAAGUGGAAUUCCAAGUGUAGCGGUGGAAGGCGCAGAGAUUUGGAGGAACACCAGUGGCGAAGGCGACUUUCUGGACUGUAACUGACGCUGAGGUACGAAAGCGUGGGGAGCAAACAGGAUUAGAUACCCUUGUAGUC
rnacentral:rRNA from 1 species